rnacentral:lncRNA from 1 species
CAAGAUACGAGUCGUAUAUUCUCCAUGCCCGAUCCGGUUAGCCCAGAAUCAUCAUCAUUAUCAUCAUUGCCUCAAUGGAUCAAAACUGAGAAAACCAACCAAGAUAGACAGAGAGAGUAAUUAAUUAAUUAACAAAAACAGAAUGGCAUAGAUGUAGAAUUGGAAAGUUGAGGAAUAUAUGUAUGUUUGUAUGGCAUGCAUGUUCCAAUAAUUCCCAGGAAAUUAACAUGAAUUCAAGGGUUGUUGCUUCUGGAAAAAUCAUUGGCUAAACAAGAGAGGGGCAACCACCCUUGUCAAGAAAAUCCAAAACUCUCUGUUUUGCCUCUUUUUUUCUCUCUGGGCUAACCUUUUCUUUGCUUGGGAAAAUGAUCUUCCACCUUCAACUCUUGCCUUUUUUCUUGUUUUAUAUAUACAAAAAACUAGCUCUUGAAGUGGGUGAAUUAUUAUAAAUGAAACUUGUCACCAAAAAUGUCAAAAUGACAUAAUCAGAAUCGUCUAAAAUGAAUAUCGCCUAGUUAUAAUGUAUACUUAAAAUUUGGUGUCAACUUUAAAGGAUAUGGAUUUGGCCUAUAUAAUAUACAAAACACAAACUAUUGUAGGGAAUAAUUUAGAGGGGGUUAUGUGAUAUUUUUUGAGUAAAAUUGUUAAGUAAUUUCUAUUUUAUGGACUCACAUAUUUAUAUAUUUAAAUAUAGAUAUUUUUGUUAUUUAAAAAAGCUCAAUUUACAUAUAUUUAUAUAAAAUAAAGAUGUUAUUAUCAUUUUUCUUAUGUCUAAUGGAUACUUAUUUAAAAAUGUAAAAGGCCACUUUAAAAUCAUCAAAAUCGAUUAUAUUGUAUUGUAUGAUUAGUUUUAUCGUAUAGUUUAAAGUAAUGAUGAAAAAUCUUAUUUUGUAUAACAACCAAUUUGGUAUUUUUCUUCUCAUUUCAUCUUACUUAUUAUUUAAUAAUUAUUUUUUAUCCUUUUGAUAGAAGCUCUAUGUUGUUACCUGCUUAUUUUAUAUGUUUAUUAUUCAAAAUAUUGAUAUGUGAAAUUAUAUAACGACGAAAAAUGAUACAAUCUAUCUAAUUAAUGUAUUCAUUACAAUAUGUUCCUUCCAUUCAUUUUACUUGUCAUUUAUUCAUAAAAUAUAUUUUUAUUUUUACUUGUCACUUUUAACAUAUCAAAAGAAGAUAAUAAUUUUUUUCAUAUUUUACCUUCAACAUUAAAUACUUAUUUUACAAAUUAUCAUUUAAUAAAAAUAGUUUAAUAAUAUAUCUAUAUCAAUAAUUAUUUUAUUAAUAAAUAUGUCAAGUCAAAAUGUGACAAAUAAAAAUUGAACACUCUUUCUAAUAGUUUAUUGCGGUCUUGAAUGAAUUCUUUAGACGAUUACAACAAAAAUUUGUCGAUUGUAUCUGUAUUUGGAUCAAAUUUCAAGUAAAUGUCUGACUCAAGGAAACAUCAUGUGGGACAUGGGAACCAUAAAUAUUCUUGUGAUUCUUUUUAGGUAAAUAGUAACGCUGGAAGAUAAGAUUUAUGCAGUCCAUAGAAAAAGAAAAAGAAGAAAGUAUUCUGAAGCCAAAUGCUCUUGAAUGGGUAGGAAUAAGGGGAUAAAUUAUUUUUUCCCCUUAUCUUUUCACUAUAAUUCGAGUCUAACACUAAAUGGUCAAAAAAUUUAAUUAAAAAUUUAAAAAGUCAAUAAUAUUUCUUUUACUUAAAAUAAAUUGAUUUUUUUUAAUUAAAAGAAUAAAAUUAUUUAAAAAGAUAAAAUAACAUAAUGUGAAAUAUGUUAUUUUAUCAGAUCAAAUUCUGGCCAAUUUUUUUUUUAAUAAGAUAGGUGAGUACUCUUACAUAGGUCAAUCAAGUCAUUAUCAAUCAUUAAUAUUACUCAUAUUUGAUAAACAAUUCAUUAGAAAUUGGACCUUUGAUUCAAUAUUUUCAAGGUUCAAUAAGUAGAAAGUAAAAUGUCCAAAUAGUAUGUUCAAUGGCUCAAGAAGAGAUUUGCAUAGCUAUUUCUGAAUCAAAGUGAAAGGAAAUAUGUGAUCAAUUACAUCUUUGUCAUGUAAAAUCAGUAGUAAAAAAUUGAGCUUCAAUAAUUUUGAAGUUAUGAGAACAUUGUAAGAUAAUUCAAAAUCAACAAGUUAAAUAAAUAAAAAUUAUUGAUUUAUCAAUAAUAAGUUACUAGUUUAACAAUUUUGUUAAUGAUGGUAAAUUUAUAAACCAUCUUAGAAGUUAAUUUCAUACUUCUAUUUAUUUAUGACUUAUCUUAAACUUUUGAUUAUUUUACAAUGCAUCAAUCAUUUAGUAAUUAAAGAUGUUAGAUUAUGAUUUAGAGGCUCAGAUCUGCAAAGAAAAGAGAGACGACCACGCCAUGGCUGCAAAAUCACUGUAAUUUGCCAAGCCAAGAUACGGGUCGAAUAAUCUUUCUUCACGCCCAACACGGUUAGCCCAGAAAUCAAACAAAUCAUCAUCACUGCCUCUAUUGUUAUGGAUAUAAUCAACCAAAAUCACAAACAGGAAAACACAGGUAAAUUGGCUUUAAUUGGUCAUGGGGUAUCAUGUAUGUAUUUCCAAUUUCAACGAUUCAUUCAUUUCCAGGAAAUUUAAGUUUUUAGAGGCUCAGAUCUGCAAAGAGAUCGAGGAAAAGAGAGAGGCGACCACGCCAUGGCUGCGAAAUCACCGUGAUUUGCCAAGCCAAGAUACGGAUCAUAUAAUCUCUAUGCCCGAUCCGGUUAGCCCAGAUUCAUCAGCAUUAUCAUCACUGCCUCAAUGGAUCAAAACUGAGAAAAUAAACCAACAUUGAGAGAGUACAGAAACAGAAAGCCAGCCAGAAUAAUUGCUAUAUAUAUGUUGGAAUAUAGUAGUACGUACGUACGUAUGUAUGUAUGUUUUCCUGGUACAAAUGAUUCAAUAAUUUCCAGGAAAUUAACAUGAAUCCAAGGGUUGUUGCUUUUUUUGUGUGGAAAAAUCAUUGGUUAAACAAGAGAGGGGCAACCACCCUUGUAAAGAAAUUACCAAAACUCUCUGUUUAGCCUCAUUUU